GUUUCUUUUCUUCUCAUUUGCUUUUCGUCACUUUUCUCUUUCAGCUUCUUCGACUUUUAGGCUUCUUUGUCUUUGGCUUUCAACAGCCCCAACACAGGAGGCUUCUUGGUGAGCCAUUUUUUUUGCUGUUUUCCUGCUUGCUGAUGCUUUGUGCCUUCUUUUCUUUUCAAUUUGAUUUGAAUUUCUAAGGCUUUGCAUAUUUUCCUUUGCAGACUCACAUCAUUUGAGAGGGCCAUCAUACUGCCCAUUAAGGUGCUGGUUUUGCUUUGUCUCAGUUGCUUCAUGUUUUGCCAGCAACAAAGUGAGAAGUUUUUUUCUACAGAGGAGUGCUGGCUUAAUAAUUUUCUUGGGCUGUCUGGCUGGGGAUUUUUUCUUUGUUGGCAAACUUUGAAGCACAGAACGUGGGUGUGAAUCAUCAGCUUUUGUAAGCUUUCUGGCACUCUGUAAUUUCUGCAUCUCCUUUAAUAUAUUUUCUUCUGUUUAUGCCAAUGGGUGAGACUUUCUCCAUUUGCAGCACGUUUUGCUACCUGUUCUCUCUCCAAUCUGCAGACUUGGAAUUUUGCUCUGCUGAAGGUGGGUUGAGCAUGUAACAAAGCAUCUGAACUGUUGAUGUUUUCUGUUUUUGGUACUCAAGAACACUCGCAAGGUCUUCUCUGAGUACCACAAUGUGCCUAUGGACACUCACAAGGUGUUCACAGCACUUGUACAGUGGGAUUCUUGUAGAAGCCCAUCUGUAAUUCACAAUAGAGAGGUCCUUGUGAGAGCUCUCUUUGUGUAAGUAGCAUAAUUAUUGCCAAUUUGGGAGGAUUUGUUCACAUUUUUCCCCUGCUACGGUCUCUGUUGAUAUGAUACAUUUCUUGAUAUCAAACAUGGAGGAAGUUCAAGCUUCUGUACAAUGGCCUCACAUACAUAUUUUUUUGCCUGCAAGUCAGUUGUACAUAAAAGG
rnacentral:lncRNA from 1 species